rnacentral:rRNA from 1 species
UGCCAGCAGCCGCGGUAAUACGUAGGGUGCAAGCGUUAAUCGGAAUUACUGGGCUUAAAGAGUUCGUAGGUGGUUGAAAAAGUUAGUGGUGAAAUCCCAGAGCUUAACUCUGGAACUGCCAUUAAAACUUUUCAGCUAGAGUAUGAUAGAGGAAAGCAGAAUUUCUAGUGUAGAGGUGAAAUUCGUAGAUAUUAGAAAGAAUACCAAUUGCGAAGGCGGCUUUCUGGAUCAUUACUGACGCUGAGGAACGAAAGCAUGGGUAGCGAAAGGGAUUAGAUA